AUGGUUGUCGUCAGCUCGUGUCGUGAGAUGUUGGUUAAGUCCGCAACGAGCGCAACCCUCGACCUUAGUUGCCAGCAUUCGAGUUGGGCACUCUAAGGUGACUGCCGGCUAAAAGUCGGAGGAAGGUGGGGAUGACGUCAAAUCAUCAUGCCCCUUAUGACCUGGGCUACACACGUGCUACAAUGGGCGGUACAAAGGGUCGCGAACCCGCGAGGGGAGCCAAUCCCAAAAAGCCGCUCUCAGUUCGGAUUGCAGGCUGCAACUCGCCUGCAUGAAGCCGGAAUCGCUAGUAAUCGCGGAUCAGCAUGCCGCGGUGAAUACGUUCCCGGGCCUU
rnacentral:rRNA from 1 species